rnacentral:rRNA from 1 species
GGUGCAGUGGUUGUCGUCAGCUCGUGUCGUGAGAUGUUGGGUUAAGUCCCGUAACGAGCGCAACCCUUGUCCUUAGUUACCAGCACGUUAUGGUGGGCACUCUAAGGAGACUGCCGGUGACAAACCGGAGGAAGGUGGGGAUGACGUCAAGUCAUCAUGGCCCUUACGGCCUGGGCUACACACGUGCUACAAUGGUCGGUACAAAGGGUUGCCAAGCCGCGAGGUGGAGCUAAUCCCAUAAAACCGAUCGUAGUCCGGAUCGCAGUCUGCAACUCGACUGCGUGAAGUCGGAAUCGCUAGUAAUCGUGAAUCAGAAUGUCACGGUGAAUACGUUCCCGGGCCUU